rnacentral:lncRNA from 1 species
GGCUACCAGCAGAGAUUUAACUUACCUGUUUUUCUAUUGUUACUAAGUAUGUGAAUCUCAGCUUGUUUUGGAAAGAUCACUACCUUUUAGUUAUGAUUACACUAUAUUUUCCAAAACAAGCAGUGAUUUCUGCCCUCUUCAUCCUGAACGUCAGGGCACUGGACACUUUUGUUGCUGCAGUAUGUGAGCAUCCUGUCACAGUGCAAAACAGAACAGAAAGGCCUGCUUCGAAUGAAGAAGCUUUGCUCCCGAUGAACAGAUGUUUUGGAAGAAGCUGUCAAGCUAGCAGCCCAGCAGGGUGCACGUAUCACUGUGGCCCCAGAACAAGGAAUCUGUGGUCGUUUCUUCACCAGGGAGACCAUUUAUCCCUAUCUGGAAGAUAUACCAGCCCCGGAAGUGAACUGGAUUACCUGUAGAGACCCCAAGAGGUAAAUCAAAGUUAUUACCCUUUGAUUUUGGGGAAAACAAGUUGUGACAGUGGAGAAUGCCAACACUAAAUUCACUGUUUGUCUAAUAAUUUUUCUGGCAAAUAGCCAGUCCAUGACAAC